CACUUUAGGGCUUGGGGUCG
rnacentral:misc_RNA from 1 species